GUCCCUGUAGAGCAAUGGAUAGCCCUUUGGACUUCUAUUCCAAAGGUCGUGGGUUCGAAUUUCACCUGGGAGG